ensembl:lncRNA
AUGGUACAGGAAAAUAAAAAACUGUAUAAACAGAAAGCACUUUUAAGGUGGUUAUACCACAAUUUAAUGCCAUGUCCAUCUGCUUAUGCUACAGAUUGGCAGGAGGCACCUAUGUCAUUAAUCAGAAACUUGCAGGAGCAAGCAUGGAGACAAGGGAAGGAGACCACCAGAAGUCGUGGCACUGCACAGCCUCCUGCUCAAAGCAGGCUCCACCACUCCCAGCCAGCUCAGUUAUGCCGUCUGCUGAAGUCAAAGGGAACUUCCUUGAGCAAUGCCUGUUUUCAUCAUGGCUUUCUGCUUGGGAAACAACUUUGACCUUGAGCAUUUUUUACAAGAGAAGGAGCAUCAGCUAACACCCACUAGCUAAGUGAAGGUAUUUUCUAAAUGUUUUUUCUUUUUCAGUUACUUUUUGAAAAAGAGCUAUGCCUCUUGACUUGUCCCACCAAACAGUGUGAAAUCAUUACAGUAAUUUAAAAUCCAUACGCCAUUAGAAACCCUUGCCAAGGUUCAUAUAAAUGCAUAUUUCCCUGUCUUUGCUGUCCCCCUGGACCAGAGCAGUGAACACGAGGAGUAUCAUUACUGCAGCAGCUGGAGUCCUGCUCUGUGUGCUGUGGAGCUGUGUGAUGAGCCAAUGAUACUCCUCAAAACCAACACUAAAAUAUGUCUUUUCCAGUUCCUCCGGGAACUCAGAGGGCUUGGGAUAUGUCUUUUGGAUGUCACCACUAAAUAGUGACAGUCUGGAGAGCAACGGUGAAAAAAAUAUUUCCCAGAAGAUUUUGUAGGCUGAAAUUUGGUAUGCAUCAAGAAAUCAUAAAAUAGUUUGGACUGGAAGGGAAUUAAGAUCAUCUAACUCCCAACUCCCCUGCCAUGGGCAGGAUUGCUACCCACCAGAUCAGGCUGCUCAGGGCCCCGUCCAACCUGCCCUUGAGUGUCUUCAGGGAUGGGGCACCCACAGCUUCUCUGGGCAGACUGUGCCAGUGCCUCACCGCACUCUGAGCAAAGAAUUUCUUCCUACUGUCAAAUCUAAAUUUAUUAUCUUUUAGUUUAAAAACAUUAUGUCUUGUCCUAUCACUUCACUGCCUGGUGAAGAGUCCCUCCCUGUCUUUUCUGUUGGACCUCUUUAGAUACUGGAAAGCCACUGUAAGGUCUCCCUGGAGUCUCCUCUAGACUGAACAACUCCAGGUCCCUCAGCCUUUCUUCACAGAAGAAGCAUUCAAGACCUCUGAUUAUCCUCAUGGCCCUCCUCUGGACCCAAUCCAACAGCUCCAGUUCUUCACUGAGCUAGGGGUCCCAGGUCUGGAUGCAGUACUCCAGAUGGAGCCUCACAAGGGCGGAGCAGAGGGGGAAGGAUCACCUCUCUUGACCUGCUAGUUACGUAUUUUAGAUACAUUCAUGACCUUGGUGACUGUUUGUCACUAAAUACAGCAACCCUUCAGCACCAACAACUUCAACAUUCUUGUACCCUCAAAUACACUGAAGGAACCUCUGUCCCUGCUGCUUGUCUAAUGGAAUGAUCAUGGAGCUGUGCCUUUGAUGGUGCGUACAUGCAGCCCUGGAGCCAGAUUCAGGGUUCAUAACAGCAUCUGCCCAUAGCAAAAGAGCUGGGGUUACUAGUGGACUCAUUCCAGUCUGGCCCAGGAAGGGCAGUGGGAAGGGCAUCUGGGCAGCGGAUCAUCACAGAAACGCAACUCCAAAGACAUGUGACCUCUCACUAUGGAUAAGAAAAGGAGCAAACCUGGAUCUCCCUGUUGCUGGAUUAACACUAGCAGACUUUCUCCCUCCUUCAAAAUCUUCCAGGAAGCAAUAGGAUUGGAGCAUCUCCAAAAUGCAUGCUGAUUCGUUUAUGCCACAGAGCACUGAAGAAAAGAAUGAGAGGAACUAGUUGGUAGGAGCCUAGAAACUGGCCCUGUUUAUUUUCAUACUCCAUUAGAAUGUUCAGUUAUUAAAAAAUUAUAUACUAAUUUCUCAGAAAAGGAAUGUACGCAUAUUCUACUGACUACUCAAAUUAUUACAGAUUACUUGACAUGCAAUAAUGCAAUUUUCUGUUGGUUAGUUAGCUGUUUGCUGACAUUUCCACGAUAUAUAGUUGGGGUUAUAAUAGCUUCAUAAGAUGGUGGUAAUGAUUUGAAAUACAGAAGCUGAGAUGUACAUGGGUACUGUACUUACUAGCAGGCAUGUGAGAAUAAAUUAGAAUAUCUUGUAUGUCUCGGCUAAAUA